rnacentral:rRNA from 1 species
CCUACGGGUGGCAGCAGUGGGGAAUAUUGCACAAUGGGGGAAACCCUGAUGCAGCGACGCCGCGUGAGCGAUGAAGUAUUUCGGUAUGUAAAGCUCUAUCAGCAGGGCAGAAAAUGACGGUACCUGACUAAGAAGCCCCGGCUAACUACGUGACAGCAGCCGCGGUAAUACGUAGGGGUCAAGCGUAUCCGGGUUUACUGGGUGUAAAGGGAGCGUAGACGGCUGUGCAAGCCAGAUGUGACAGCCCGGGGCUCAACCCCGGGACUGCAUUUGGUACUGUGUGACUGGAGUUGCGGAGAGGCAGGCGGAAUUCCUAGUGGAGCGAUGAAAUGCGUAGAUAUUAGGAGGAACACCAGUGGCGAAGGCGGCCUGCUGGACUAUGACUGACGUUGAGGCUCGAAAGCGUGGGGAGCAAACAGGAUUAGAUACCCGAGUAGUC